UUUCCGUAGGUGAACCUGCGGAAGGAUCAUUAAAGAGAAAGGGUUAUUCGUAGCCCGACCUCCAACCCUUUGUUGUUAUAACUACCUCGUUGCUUUGGCGGGACCGCUCGGUCCCGAGCUGCCGGUCUUAGGCCCGGCAAGCGCCCGCCAGAGUCUACUCAAACUCUUGUUUUAACCGGUCGUCUGAGUAAAAAUUUUAAUUAAAUUAAAACUUUCAACAACGGAUCUCUUGGUUCUCGCAUCGAUGAAGAACGCAGCGAAAUGCGAUAAGUAAUGUGAAUUGCAGAAUUCAGUGAAUCAUCGAAUCUUUGAACGCACAUUGCGCUCCCUGGUAUUCCGGGGAGCAUGCCUGUUCGAGCGUCAUUACACCACUCAAGCACUGCUUGGUAUUAGGCCAUCGUCCCCCGAAAGGUGGGCGUGCCUCAAACACCUCGGCGGAGCCUCACCGGCUUUGGGCGUAGUAGAAUUUCUCAACGUCUUGCAAGUACCGGUUUGACUCCUCGCCGUAAAACCACCAAUUUUUACAGGUUGACCUCGGAUCAGGUAGGGAUACCCGCUGAACUUAAGCAUAUCAAUAAGCGG
rnacentral:rRNA from 1 species